AGGGCCACCCCUAUUCAUAAGUUUUCUGUCGAUCCCGACGGCCGGUGAGGGUGUGCAAGGCCAUGAAAAGAAGGGAAAGGAAGAGAGGAAGAAGGAGAAGAGUUUACCUCAAGCUUCAACAGCAUCGUCGGCUUCAAUUUUCGACGAGCACGAUUACGGAGAGGCCACAGCUUUAUGACCGAAAUCGAGGAGAAGGUGAGGGAGAAAGGCUAGUGGAGGUUCUUAGGG
rnacentral:lncRNA from 1 species